UUGAAAUUUGGCAACGCUGUCUGAAAAAUAACUGGGAACUGGCUCUGAACUGUCAUUAAGUUUUGUUUUGUCUUUUGCUGGCGGGAAAAAAUCGUUGAGUCGCCUGAACUUUGCCUCUUCUGAUGGCUCCGGAAUUGGUCGAUUGAAGGAAAGUAAUAAGGAAAAAGACAACGACGGAUGUUACCCGUGAUGCUGCCAAUAUGAAGACUAAAAGAUACCGCGAUUACCGUAGCGAUUGAUCUUGCGAUGCUCUGAAUCAUCCGCACCGUCCAUAAAGGUUAUAUUUCUGUAAGUGGAACAUCACCAUGCCAGAUGGAACCGGAAGACUGACACCGCCACCAUUAAACUAUAGUAGAUUUUUUUAAGAAACAAAAGUUAAGUAUUACCUGGCAGAAAGAUGGCCCAGCUCAUGAACCCGAAUGAUCCUCGAAAUUAUCCUCCAGCAUAAUCAACGAGCUCAUCUACACUAGUCUUCAUGCAUACUCUAAGGACCAUUAUCUUCGCUACGCACCAACGCACUACACGGAACGGAUUCAGUUCCACCUGCCGAAGAAAUGUUAGUUGUUCUGGCGGAACUCCAGUCGUUCGAUUGAAAAAAGGUUAUCCACCAUCAAUGGAACAUGUGAACCUCUUCGACAGAACCGGUUGUCUACGCACAAAAUUGUCUACAGAAGCAUAUUCCAAAAUUUGAGAUAAUAUAGGUCCAAUAAAACAAAUAUAAAUAAAAUGAGAAAAUAAAGUGGAAUCGAUAAAUAUUAUUAAUUAUGAAUGCA